rnacentral:snRNA from 1 species
AGCUUUGCACAGUGGCAGUAUCGUAGCCAAUGAGGUGUAUCUGAGGCACAAUUAUUGCUAAUUAAAAAAGAUAACAUUUUU